GAUGGACGCUGGCGGCGUGCCUAAUACAUGCAAGUCGAGCGAACAGACGAGGAGCUUGCUCCUCUGACGUUAGCGGCGGACGGGUGAGUAACACGUGGAUAACCUACCUAUAAGACUGGGAUAACUUCGGGAAACCGGAGCUAAUACCGGAUAAUAUAUUGAACCGCAUGGUUCAAUAGUGAAAGACGGUUUUGCUGUCACUUAUAGAUGGAUCCGCGCCGCAUUAGCUAGUUGGUAAGGUAACGGCUUACCAAGGCAACGAUGCGUAGCCGACCUGAGAGGGUGAUCGGCCACACUGGAACUGAGACACGGUCCAGACUCCUACGGGAGGCAGCAGUAGGGAAUCUUCCGCAAUGGGUGAAAGCUUGACGGAGCAACGCCGCGUGAGUGAUGAAGGUCUUCGGAUCGUAAAACUCUGUUAUUAGGGAAGAACAAAUGUGUAAGUAACUAUGCACGUCUUGACGGUACCUAAUCAGAAAGCCACGGCUAACUACGUG
rnacentral:rRNA from 1 species